CGAAGAGGACAUGCAUCACCUGUGCAUUGUGAGGGGAGUGGAGAAACAGCUGUGGUGGAGCAGAGUCAUUCAGGAAAAAAUCCUGGACCCAUGGGGUAAUGUCCAGGUGGUCCUCACCAACAAGGAGGUGACUGGUAUUAAGUUCCUUGGUAGAAGGAUCCAUGGACUCAGGUCUUGCCUCGUCAAGAGGAGGUCAGAGUUCACCUAUUAUGAGGACGCCCAG